AUUGAACGCUGGCGGCAGGCUUAACACAUGCAAGUCGAGCGGGGGAGGUUACUUCGGUAACUGACCUAGCGGCGGACGGGUGAGUAAUGCUUAGGAAUCUGCCUAUUAGUGGGGGACAACAUUCCGAAAGGAAUGCUAAUACCGCAUACGUCCUACGGGGGAAAGCAGGGGAUCUUCGGACCUUGCGCUAAUAGAUGAGACUAAGUCGGAUUAGCUAGUUGGUGGGGUAAAGGCCUACCAAGGCGACGAUCUGUAGCGGGUCUGAGAGAAUGAUCCGCCACACUGGGACGGAGACACGGCCCAGACUCCUACGGGAGGUAGCAGUGGGGAAUAUUGGACAAUGGGCGCAAGCCUGAUCCAGCCAUGCCGCGUGUGUGAAGAAGGCCUUUUGGUUGUAAAGCACUUUAAGCGAGGAGGAGGCUCCUUUAGUUAAUACCUAAAGAGAGUGGACGUUACUCGCAGAAUAAGCACCGGCUAACUCUGUGCCAGCCGCCGCCGUAAAAC
rnacentral:rRNA from 1 species